UACGGAGGAUGCAAGCGUUAUCCGGAAUGAUUGGGCGUAAAGCGUCCGCAGGUGGCAUAUCAAGUUUGUGGUUAAAGGUUCUGGCUCAACUAGAGACAGGCCGUGAAAACUGAUAAGCUAGAGUAUGGUAGGGGCAGAGGGAAUUCCCAGUGCAGCGGUGAAAUGCGUAGAGAUUGGGAAGAACACCAGUGGCGAAAGCGCUCUGCUAGGCCAAAACUGACACUGAGGGACGAAAGCUAGGGGAGCGAAUGGG
rnacentral:rRNA from 1 species